rnacentral:tRNA from 1 species
GCCAGGUUGGCUCAGUUGGUAGAGCAGGCGCACAUAUACAGUACAUAGAGGUUUAUGCCUUGACGCAUAGGUCCAGGGUUUGAGUCCGACCUGUGA